AUUGAACGCUGGCGGCAGGCUUAACACAUGCAAGUCGAGCGGGGGAAGGUAGCUUGCUACCGGACCUAGCGGCGGACGGGUGAGUAUGCUUAGGAAUCUGCCUAUUAGUGGGGGACAACAUCUCGAAAGGGAUGCUAAUACCGCAUACGUCCUACGGGAGAAAGCAGGGGAUCUUUGGACCUUGCGCUAAUAGAUGAGCCUAAGUCGGAUUAGCUAGUUGGUGGGGUAAAGGCCUACCAAGGAGACGAUCUGUAGCGGGUCUGAGAGGAAGAUCCGCCACAAUGGGACUGAGACACGGCCCAGACUCCUACGGGAGGCAGCAGUGGGGAAUAUUGGACAAUGGGGGGAACCCUGAUCCAGCCAUGCCGCGUGUGUGAAGAAGGCCUUAUGGUUGUAAAGCACUUUAAGCGAGGAGGAGGCUACUUUAGUUAAUACCUAGAGAUAGUGGACGUUACUCGCAGAAUAAGCACCGGCUAACUCUGUGCCAGCAGCCGCGGUAA
rnacentral:rRNA from 1 species